rnacentral:lncRNA from 1 species
CCGCAGCCCAUCUCUGCGCUCUUCUUCCAGAACGCCCGGGCUCGCUCGCUCCGGGGCAGGGGAGGGGAGAGAGGGCUCGGAGGCGAGAGCCGGGAAAAAGCCGCCAAACUUACCUGCGAUUCCUCAGCUGCCCGGGCCCGUGCGGACGGUAUGGCCCAGGGACGCAGACCUCGUAGGAACAAGAUGGCUCGAAAAGUGAAAAAGCUGAGGAUCGACGUCCGCGGCUGGCUACGGAAGACAAACACGGGGAGCCCGAGCGCGGGGAGAGAGAGCUCCCGUGCAUGGGCCGGCGAUGGCGCGGAGGAUCCGCCGGGCCCGCCCCGCACGCCCUUCUCGGCCGUGCAGAUACUAGCCCUGAGAUGCAAAGACCCAUGUCAGAUGUCACGGCGAAAGCAACUGGAAGGCGCAGCAAUGCAUACGGUGAACGUGGAAAUUUCGCUCGCUAGUCCCUGGGAAAUCUCACUGUCACCUCAUGAAAAGACAUCACCGGCCUUUCCCAGAACGGAGGCAUUCCGGCUUCUGCAAUGGACAAUUAGGCUGAAGAAUUUUUGCUCAGAAGGCAGCCAGCAGCUGGUCAGGGGUGGGCAUUAAGAAAAAAUUUCUGGGGCGCCUGGGUGGCUCAGUCGGGUGAGCGUCCGACUUCGGCUCAGGUCAUGAUCUCACGGUUGGUGGGUUCGAGCCCCGCGUCGGGGUCUGUGCUGACAGCUCGGAGCCUGGAGCCUGGAGCCUGCUUCUGCUUCUGUGUCUCCCUCUCUCUCUGCCCCUAACCCACUCGCAUUCUGUCUCUGUCGCUCUCAAAAAUAAAUAAAAAUUAAAAAAAAAAAAAAAGGAAAGAAAACAUUU